rnacentral:misc_RNA from 1 species
GCUAGUCCGAGGAGUACAGGUAUUUUUAUUUUAAUUCAUCGGAAAUUUCAGUCUGUGUGCAUGUUUAUCAGAGAAGUUGUGCUUUUAACUCUAGCACAAGAUUUCAUAUAUAAUUUUGCAUGUUAUCUAUUCUAAAAUAUCUCAAUUGAAAGUUCUUUCGGUUUCAGCUAUGCUAAUUAUUUUGGCAAAUGUUCAUGUAGCUAUCUUUAUUGAGUUUAUAUAUUAUAUGAUAUUAAUCUGGCCUGCUUGUCUUUACUCUUCUGCUUAUGUUGCCCACUGUCAAUGAAAGUUUGUAAAAAAGGUUCUGUAACUUUUCUGAAAGCUUUUGAUUAAGCUGCAAUACACAUAUGUAGGUAUUGUCUGCAAAAGGCCAAG